GAUGAACGCUAGCGGCAGGCUUAACACAUGCAAGUCGAGGGGCAGCACGAUGUAGCAAUACAUGGGUGGCGACCGGCGCACGGGUGCGUAACGCGUAUGCAAUCUGCCUUACACUAAGGGAUAGCCCAGAGAAAUUUGGAUUAAUACCUUAUAGUAUAUUGAUGUGGCCUCACAUUAUUAUUAAAGAUUUAUUGGUGUAAGAUGAGCAUGCGUCCCAUUAGCUAGUUGGUAUGGUAACGGCAUACCAAGGCUAUGAUGGGUAGGGGUCCUGAGAGGGAGAUCCCCCACACUGGUACUGAGACACGGACCAGACUCCUACGGGAGGCAGCAGUGAGGAAUAUUGGUCAAUGGGCGAAAGCCUGAUCCAGCCAUGCCGCGUGUGUGAAGAAGGCCUUCGGGUUGUAAAGCACUUUAAGCGAGGAGGAAGGUUCGUUACUUAAUACGUAACGGAAUUGACGUUACUCGCAGAAUAAGCACCAGCUAACUCCGUGCCAGCCGCCGCGGUAACAC
rnacentral:rRNA from 1 species